AAAAACUUACGGACUAUUCCAGAAGCAUGCGCUGAUAGAAAAGAUGCACUCAUCGAUCCAUCUAGAUGUUAGGUCUAUUGUUGAAUCUUUUGCUGUUAGAUUUCUUGUGGACUGUAAAAUUAGACUUAUUUUAAUAAAAUAAUAAAUAGCCAACAAUCUCUUCCAAUACUUGCACCGUUAACGCAACAUAUGGGAAUCAAAUCUACACCAUUAGCUCUUAUACCACUUGUGGAUCGUAAGGAUUAACCAGUUAUUCCUAAAGCAAGUGAUGAUAGGAAUGACGCACCCAUCGCACUUAAGUGCUCAAUCACAGCGCUCACGUGCUCCGACUUGACUCAAUCCACCUGAACAUUAGAUCUGCUGUUGGGCUUCUUACCGUUAGAUUUCUUAUGGACCAUAACCCCACUCAACUUGUUAGACUCAUCCAACUCAACUUGUUAGUCUUCUGUGGUUUAAAAUGUAUCAUUUUCGCAUCCUAUGGUUUUAUUUUUUUUCUUUUUUUUAACCCCUCUUCAUUAAUUUUUUUUCAUCAAAGAUAAAAUUAAAGGGUACUAAAGUAAAUAUUCGAUAAACCAUAUAUGGAGCAUCUGCAUUUUUUUGUAUAUGAUUUAACGAAAAAUUAACAAAGGGGCCGAUGAAAAGAGAAAAAUAAAAUCACAGAGUACUAAAUUAAUACUCUUUAAAUCACAUAGUACUAAAGUAAGAAGUGUGAAAUCACAGAAGUGAUAUUUCAAGUUUACCCAAAAAUGUAGGGUUA
rnacentral:lncRNA from 1 species